AGCUUUGCGCAGUGGCAGUAUUGUAGCCAAUGAGGUUUAUCCAAGGCGCGAUUAUUGCUAAUUGAAAGUGUAAGUCAUGAAAUUUCAGAUGUACAUAGUAAAAUGAAAGAAAUUGUUAGUUACUAUUUCUCAUAAUAG
rnacentral:snRNA from 1 species